ensembl:lncRNA
GUCUCUUGUAAAAGGACAACAUCUGCCUGUAGUUUUUUGAGUUGGUUAAUGUUGAAAGAUUUUAUGUUUUAUGUGUUUUUAUUCGUUGUUUUAUUAUCUUUCAUUAACAAGCAUAUCAUGAAGUGUUCAUAUAUUUCAUAAGAUUUGCUGAACUUUUCCACUGUUGUGCAAGCUGACAUUUAACCUACAACACAAGUAAGUUAAACAGGAAACAGAUGCAGCACCCAAACCACAAGAGUUCAAAAGUGCACCACGUUUCCUAAAAAGAAGUAGCCAGACACACAUGUGACUCACACACUCCCACACACACAACCAUUGGAUUAGAGGAACUUGUAAAAGAGGAAAUGUGAUGUACUUGCAUACGCGAUGUAACCUAUAAAUAAAGAACUGUGCCUGCACUCAGGGUGUGGGUCUCACCAGAGUCCUCACCCGUGCGCGGGGUCUCGCCAGAGGCCUCACGCAUGCACGUUGCUGUUAUUAUAUUCUAACUGUCUGAGUGUCUUUAUUCAACCUGAAGAAUGUCUUAUUAAAAAUAAACUCUUGACAUUUAAUUGGUCCUUCGAGCCGGAUGUAGGACAUCGAAUUAUAACUAAUUUUAUGCUCCAACAGAGUGACCUCGUCGUUUCCUGACAUCGUGGAGAGCCCGCGCUGAAGUCUGUCGACAGCCUCUUUCCUAUGAAGGAGAAAAGACCAACUACGUGAAUUCGGGGUUGGCCAGCGUUCUUAGUAAGAGGUCCACGAUCCUGGGGAACGAGGAGGAAUCUCUGACCGGCACUUAUAUCAUCAUAACCAGUCUCUUCCAGGUUGAAACCAGGCGACUGGAUCCUGAUCAAGGUACUCCAGAGGAAAAACUGGAGCUCUCCGAGGUGGGAGGGCCCUUAUCAGGUCCUGCUCACAACACCGACAGCGUGCAAAAUCGCUGAAAGACCUUCGUGGAUCCACCAGAGCCACGCCAAAAAAAAAAAGUACAAGGGGACACAAGCCCAGACGCCAGUCCACCUAUCAUCUAGUGAUCUGUAAGUGGAGGAGAGGGCAGAUUGGGUAUACCCCGCCCUCUUGACUUCUCGCUUUCAGUCGACACACUAGGUGAUCUGGUGAACUUGGUCGACCUGAAGAAACCCCAUUGUAGCCCGAGCACUGACCUAGCCCCACCUGCCCGGUAGAGUAAAGGAAGAUCAGUCCAACCUGCAAAACCAGAAGAGCAACCCAUCACUCAAGAUGUGUCCUCAUCCUGUGGAAUCAGAUCCAUGACCAUGGUCUGCCUAUGGAGACUUAGAGUCCCAGAAAAGCAGGGUGUAUCUUUUGUUUAUCCAAAUAAGACACUGCAACCGGAAUCUUCCUGGCACAAGCUUAUAGCCCGAUAGCAACUGAGGAAGAAGAAGACUGUGUUUAAAAAUUUCAGACACUUCACAUGAUGUAGCAAUUGAAAAUGCGCAGCAAGUGAUUGUCUACUGAAGUCUAUAGAGUAUGGGUGAAAUAUAUUAACAACAGGAGGGAAUGUUGAAAGAUUUUAUGUUUUAUGUGUUUUUAUUCGUUGUUUUAUUAUCUUUCAUUAACAAGCAUAUCAUGAAGUGUUCAUAUAUUUCAUAAGAUUUGCUGAACUUUUCCACUGUUGUGCAAGCUGACAUUUAACCUACAACACAAGUAAGUUAAACAGGAAACAGACGCAGCACCCAAACCACAAGAGUUCAAAAGUGCACCACGUUUCCUAAAAAGAAGUAGCCAGACACACAUGUGACUCACACACUCCCACACACACAACCAUUGGAUUAGAGGAACUUGUAAAAGAGGAAAUGUGAUGUACUUGCAUACGCGAUGUAACCUAUAAAUAAAGAACUGUGCCUGCACUCAGGGUGUGGGUCUCACCAGAGUCCUCACCCGUGCGCGGGGUCUCGCCAGAGGCCUCACGCAUGCACGUUGCUGUUAUUAUAUUCUAACUGUCUGAG